rnacentral:lncRNA from 1 species
UGGGAUAUAGGUAUAAAUGUCCCUCCGACCUGAGACCGCCACGGUGACUUGCAAGCAACUCACUGCACUUAGGCACUGGACUACCUGAAUUUCUAAUUCAGUGACGGAAGGCUGCUGGGUGUAGUCAAGUACUUGACUUGUCGGUGCGUGUGUCAAGAUGGGAUUGACUACUCUAGUUUAGGAGCUGUGUACAGUCGUAUUUCAAUUUAGUAAAAUCUUGGCCAGGAUAGUCUUAGUGAGGAGUCACAGGACUAAUUGAGUUGAGCACGAUUCGGAUGAUCUCAUCAGGGUUGACAGUUUAACCCUGAGUCAUCCUAAACACAGGGGUCAAAAGGGANNNNNNNNNNNNNNNNNNNNUAUUCGUGUAGGUUCUGAGUGUUGCGAUUGCGACUAUUCAACCUAUCCGAUCAUCGAGUACCAUUGCUAGAUGGUCACUUCGAUUAGUACAGGAAUUGGUUUCUGUGCUACCGGCUUAGGUUCGAACCUGUGGGGUCACACACAUUAGAGGUUCCUUUCUGAUCUGAUGGCUGAUUAUGAGUCUUAUGUGUCUGAGACUCUAUGAUUAAGAAUUAAGAUUCUCUGAUCAUGAGUUCCACACAUUUUGGGUACCGGGGUCAAAAUUUUGAAUUUUAAAUUUUGAAUUUGAAAUUUGAACUCUUUGAUCAGGGUUUCAUAUUGAUGGUCUCUGAUGCCUAAUUGCCCAUCGGAUUUGGACUCAAUAAUUAUGAGAGAUUUUAUUAGUGAUUUGAUCGCUAAUUAACUCAAUUUGAUAGAGUAAUUAUUUUUGGAUCAAGUCCAAUUGAAUUGGAUUCAAUUGGGUUUGACCCGAUUAGGUUAAGAGUUGACCUAAUCGUCGAGAUGGUUUGG